rnacentral:rRNA from 1 species
UACGAAGGGGGCUAGCGUUGCUCGGAAUUACUGGGCGUAAAGCGUGCGCAGGCGGUUGUGCAAGACAGAUGUGAAAUCCCCGGGCUCGACCUGGGAAUUGCAUUUGUGACUGCACGGCUAGAGUGUGUCAGAGGGGGGUAGAAUUCCACGUGUAGCAGUGAAAUGCGUAGAGAUGUGAAGGAAUACCGAUGGCGAAGGCAGCCCCCUGGGAUAACACUGACGCUCAUGCACGAAAGCGUGGGGAGCAAACAGG